AUGGAGGCGCCUCCCCAGGAUGGACAUGGCACCCACAUUGGCACCCUCUGGUCUUGUCCCCACAGGACACCCCUCUGUCAUGGUGAUCAAGACGGCUAGGGGGCAGGGAAGGCGAGAAGAGGGAGGAGACACUGGUGUGACUCAUAGCAAAGUAAGAGCUUCUUCCCUCCUCUCUGCACCCCAAAUACGGAGCACCGGCUGCGUUCCAGGCACUGUGCUAGACACUUCACAUGCGGUGAACCUGUGAGGCAGAUC
rnacentral:lncRNA from 1 species